AGUUUCCUGGUCUAGCGGUUAUGAUUUUCCGUUAACACCGGAAAGGUUCUGGGUUCGAUUCCCAGGGAAACUA
rnacentral:tRNA from 9 species